UUCCGGUUGAUCCUGCCGGAAGCUACCGCUAUUGGAAUCCGAUUAAGCCAUGCGAGUCGAGAGAUUUCGGAUCUCGGCAGACGUCUCAGUAACACGCGGAUAAUCUGCCCUUGAGUGGAGGAUAAUCUCGGAAACCUGAGCAUAAUACUCCAUAGACCUAGGAUGCUGGAAUGCUUCUAGGUUCAAAGCUCCGGCGCUCAAGGAUGAGUCUGCGGCCUAUCAGGCAGUAGUGGGUGUAACGGACCCACUAACCCUUGACGGGUAUGGGCCUUGAGAGAGGUUGCCCAGAGUUGGACUCUGAGACACGAGUCCAGGCCCUACGGGGUGCAGCAGGCGCGAAAACUUCACAAUGUGGGAAACCGCGAUGAGGGGAUUCCAAGUGCCAGCACACUGUGUUGGCUGUUCACCUGCCUAAAAAGCUGGUGAAGUAAGGGCCGGGUAAGACGGGUGCCAGCCGCCGCGGUAAUACCCGCGGCCCGAGUGGUGGUCGUUAUUAUUGAGCCUAAAGCGUCCGUAGCCGGUUUGGUAAAUUUCUGGGUAAAUCGGGCAGCUUAACUGUCCGAAUUCCGGAAAGACUGCCAAACUUGGGACCGGGGGAGGUUGGAGGUACUCCUGGGGUAGGGGUGAAAUCCUGUAAUCCUGGGGGACCACCAGUGGCGAAGGCGUCCAACCAAAACGGAUCCGACGGUAAGGGACGAAGCCCUGGGGCGCAACGGGAUUAGAUACCCCGGUAGUCCAGGGUGUAAACGCUGCAGCUUGGUGUUGGGGGUCCUACGAGGGCGCCCAGUGCGGAGAGAGUGUAAGCCUGCGCUUGGGAGUACGUCGCAGAUGAACUAAGAUUGCGGGGGCACAGCACGGUGGACGUGCGUCAAUGAUCACGCUGAAUCGUCG
rnacentral:rRNA from 1 species